rnacentral:lncRNA from 1 species
UUAGCCAGGAUGGUCUCGAUCUCCUGACCUUGUGAUCUGCCUGCCUCAGCCUCCCAAAGUGCUGGGAUUACAGGCUUGAGCCACCGCGCCCAGCCUCUUGUUGAAUUUUUUACUGGAUUUGCAUUAAAUCUGUAGAACAAUUUGGGGAGAAUCGACAACUUUAUAAUACUGAAUCUCCCAAUCCACAAAGAGUAGAUUAUGUAUUAUCUCUCUUAUUUAGAUUUUUUAAAUGUCUUUCAAUCAAGUUUUAUAAUUUUUCUAUACAGGUCUUGCAUAGUUUUUGUUAGAUUCUUCAGUUACCUUAGUUCCUAUUGUUAUUGCAAAUGGUAAAUGUAACAGCCUGGGACUGGCCAUUUAAACCCAACAUUACUUCUAAGCUUCAUCCAUUCUGUUGUGCAACUGUGGCUGAUUCAGUCUCACCACUGUAUAAGAAGACUCCAACUAAUGGCCAGGAGUGGUGGCUCACGCCUGUAAUCCCAGCACUUUGGGAGGCCGAGGCGGGCGGAUCACCUGAGGUCCGGAGUUUGAGACCAGCCUGACAAACACGGAGAAACCCCGUCUCUACUAAAAAUACAAAAUUAGCCAGGUGUGGUGGCGCAUGCCUGUAAUCCCUGCUGCUCAGGAAGCUGAGGCAGGAGAAUGGCUUGAACCCCGGAGGCGGAGGUUGCCACAAACUGAGAUUGUGCCAUUGCACUCCAGCCUGGGCAACAAGAGCGAAACUCCGUCUCAAAAAAAAAAAAAAGAAAAGAAAAGAAAAGAAAAGAAGAUUCCAACUAAUUUAUUCAUUCUCCUGUUAAUGGACAUUUGAAUCAGUCUGGAUUUUCUUUUUUUCUAUUACUGUGUUUCUAUGGACAUUUUUGCACCUGCCUCUUGGGGCUUGUAUGCAAGAGUCCCUCAAAAGAAUAUUUUGAGGCCAGGCACGGUGGCUCACACCUAUAAUCCCAGCACUUUGGGAGACGACACGGGCAGAUCACGAGGUCAGGAGUUUGAGACUAGCCUGACCAACAUGGUGAAACCCCGUCUCUACUAAAAAUACAAAAAUUAGCUGGGCAUGGUGGUUAGCACCUGUAACCCAGCUACUCAGGAGACUGAGGAAGGAGAAUCACUUGAACCUGGAAGGUGGAGCUUGCAUUGAGUGGAGAUCUUGCCACUGCACUCCAGCCUGGGCAACAAGAGCAAAACGCUUUCUCAAAAAAAAAAGCUUUCUCAAAAAAAAAAAAAAAAAAAAAAAGGAAAUACCCAAAGUGUGUUUUUCUUGCUAAGAACCAGUAAUUCCUUUUCUUGAUUUCUGUGUUGUUUUUGAGACCCUAUUUUAUUUAGUUCUCCUCUGAUCUUUAUUAUUUUUUUCAUGGGCUAAUUUUGGUUUUGCUUUGUUCUUGCUUUUCUAGUUCUUUAAGGUGCAUCAUAAGUUUAUUAAUUUUUCAUCUUUCUACUUUUUGGAUGUAGGUAUUUAUUGCUACAACCUUCCCUCACAGCACUGAUUUUGCUGAAUCCAAAGGCUUUUGGUAUAUGAUGUUUCCAUUUUCAUUUGUUUGAAAACAUUUUCGGAUUUUCAUUUUAAUUUCUUCAUUGAAUCAGUGCUCAUUCAGGAGGGUGGGGUUUAAUUUUCAUGUAUGCGUAUAGGUUCUGUAGUUUGCCUUGAUGUCCAUUUCUAGGUUUAUUCCUCUGUUGUCUGAUCUUUGGAAUGAUUAUGAUUAUGAUUUCCUAAAAUGUGUAGGGACAGCUUUUGUGGACUAACAAAGGAUCUGUUUUGAAGAACGUUUCAUGUGCUGAUGAAAAAAGUAUAUUAAUUUAUCUAAAAAUAGCACCUAGAGAAACUCAAAUAAUAUAUAUUUUGCAAAAUAACCAUAGUCUUCAAAACAAACAAAAAAACAAAAAAGAGACUGAGUAGCUACGUUUGACAUUUUUGCAAAAGACAGGACACUUGAGUCCUCCUGUCUCCUUCUGCAUUCCAACUAUCUCAAAAUCUUGUUAGGUUGAAAUACACAAACAAUACCCAGCCUCCCUCAAAUAGGUCUGUGUAAAGGAAGGAGUUUGGGUUUGGUUUCUCUUGGUCAGUUGCACGGAGAUGAAAGCACUGGGUCCUAUGGAAAGUAUGUCCCUCCCAGCCUGCCCUGGCCAUCACCCCAGCUGCCACUCCAGCAGGAUCUGGGCGUCCCAGGCACUUCUGUUCUGAGCAACCCUCCCCAACAGAGUUCCCAGGAGAAGAGUAGGAGGAUGCUCAGAUGCGAAUCCCAAAGCUGUCACCUCCUGAGCCAGCUGCUGGGCCGGGAAUCCUGCUCCCCUGCCGAGACCUCUUUGCUGGGCCAGAACCAGGUCUUGGAGAGAGUCCGGAUAGCUCUUGGGGCUCCGGGCCAGGGAGAGAAGGGGACAUUACAAUGCAUGGACCAUACAGUCCUCCAGCCCAGCAGCCUCAACCCUCAGCAGGAAUCUUCAGCGAUCCACAGGUGGAUCUGCAGCCAUUGUGCGCGCCUGUUCUUCCCGCGCGCCUCUCCCUCCAGUACCUCUUGUGUGCACUGCCCGCUCCCCACCAAGGCAUUGCCAGCAGGUGCCUUGUGUGCAUACCUGGCCAUGCUAAUCCCUUAAAGUCACCCUUCCUGCGCAGAUCCGUGACUCGCACCAUCUUUGCACACACACCCACUCGCUCAGGUUGGAAAGAUGCAUUGCCCGUCAACGGGAAACUGCUCGCAUAGCCUUUGGCCAAGUUGGCAGCUAAGGCGGAUGCUUAGAGCCCAGCUCUCAAGAGUUGAAGCAUCCGACGGUUCCCCACUGCUCCCAGGAGUGGUUACCUGGGCACUCUGUGUCUGUCACCCCUGUCCCGGCCCCGGGGGCCAAGGGCCUGCCAGUAGGGCUCAGUUGCCUGGAGCCUGCUCAUCCCAUCCCCCAGUUCACUUUGUUUGUGGAAUCUCCCUGUUGCCACUGCCCCUGGAUGGAAUGGCAGGGCCAUCCUACAAGUACCCAGACACUUGGCAUCAGUGGUGUGUCAAAACAACUCCAAGGGUUUUCUGUGAUCCUGCAAGCCCUGUGUUCCUUGCUGGCGAUCCUGCCUUCAAUUUGAAUGCACAGGUACCACAGCAAGCCGGUGCUGUGUGCUCCCAAUUCCAGGAUGUCUUGCAGCUCAGCCAGUGCACUGAGCACAAGGACUCUCUGUGGGGCCCAGGAGCAGGGAGUCACCCCUUUGGGGCCCACAACAUCCAGUUGUGCCCCAGACUCCUGUCCAGAGAAGAUCGUGUUGAGGGCCCUCCUGAAGAGGGGGGCAGGGAUGCCUGAGCAGGACAAGGACCCCAGAGUCCAAGAGAAUCCUGAUGAUCAGAGAAGGGUUCCUGAGGGCACCGGGGAUGCACAGUCUGCAUUUAGGCCCCUGUGGGACAAUGGAGGCCUCUCUCCCUUCGUGCCCAGGCCUGGGCCUCUGCAGAGAGACCUCCAUGCCCAGAGGUCAGAAGUCGGAUAAAACCAGAGAUCCCAGACCUCCUGGAUGAGUUCGUGCACCAAACAAAAUGCCAUCGUGAGCUCCUACAGUUCCAUGGGAGGCUUCCUGUCACCAAAGAGGAGGGGGCCAGCCUCAUCCCACUGUCAGCUGCCCCUCAGGUCCUCAAAGACAGUGAGUGAGGACCGGCCUCAGGCUGUCUCUUGGGGUCUCACCCAGUGUGAAAAGGCAGCAGAUGCAGCACCAGGGCAGACACUUGCCCCCAGGAAUGGCUCCCCCACAUCCCAGGCCUCUAGGCCCCAUAGAUGCAAGUUUCCUCUGCUGCCACUCAGGCAAGGGGAGCCUCUGAUGCUGCCACCUCCCUUACAGCUGGGGUCUGGGGUCACUGCUGAAGACCUGGACCUGGAGAAGAAGGUGGCACUCUGGUGCAAAAGCGCACUGCGGGGUGAGGCCAAGGCCAUCUGGGACUGCAGACCCUCACGGCCUUCCCACACUUUGUCCUCACUUGCAACAGGGACUUCUUGUCUGCCUGUUGUAUGUAAAGCACCCAGCAUGGAUGCACAGCAGGAGAGACACAAGCCCCAAGACUAUGUGGCUGUCUUUCUGGGCUCUGUCAUCCGUCCCAUUGAUCUAUGUGUCUAGUUUUAUGCUAGGACCAUGCUGUUUUGGUUACCAUGCACUUGUCAAAAAUUUUGUCAUUCUAAUUUGCAGUGAAAUGGGGUGCUUCUAGUUUUGUUGUUUUUGCUGAGGAUGACUUUGGCUCUUUGAGCUCUUUUUUGGUUUCAUAUGAGUUUUACGAUUUUCCAGUUCUGUGAGAGAUGACACUGGUAUUUUGGUAGGGGUUGUAUUGAAUCUCUAGACUGCUCUGGGCAGUGUGGUCAUUUUAAUGCUAUGAAUUCCUUCCAUGAGCAUGAAAUGACUGUCCAUUUCUUUCCGUCCUCUUAAACUUUGUCAUCAGUGUUUUGUAGUUUUCCUUGUAGAAAUCGUUCACCUCCUUGGUAAAAUUUCCUCUGUGGCAUAUCAUUUUUCAUUUUGUUGCUAUUGUAAAUGGGAUUGCCUCCUUAAUUUCUUUCCUAGACCAUUAUUGGUGUAUAAAAUGCUGCUGAUUUUUGUAUGUUGAUUUUGUAUCCUGCAAAUGACUGUAUUAAUUUAUUUAUCAAGUCUAGAGUUUUCUGGUGGAGGCUUUACAUGUUUGUAAAUCCAAGAUCACAUCUUCAUCAGACAAGGAUAAUUUGAUGUCCUCUUUUCCAGUGUGGGUGGCUUUUAUUUUUUUCUCUUGCAUAUUUGUGUGAUGUCUAAUAAAAGUGGUGAGAACGGGCAUCCUCGUCUUGUUCCUGUUUACAGAGGAAACGCUUUUCACUUUUCCCCAUUCUGUAGUAGGUUAGCUAUGGCUUUGUCGUAUACAGCUUUUAUUAUUUCUAGGUUUUUUUUUUUGAGAUGGAUUCUGGCUCUUGUCACCCAGGCUGUAGUGCAAUGGUGCAAUCUCAG